rnacentral:lncRNA from 1 species
GGAAGCAGCUUGCACAGGAAGGCCGCUCCCUCGUCAGCUGAUGUUUCAGAGAAGGCAAUGAAAGAGCUUAAGAGAGAAUCCAGGUUGGUGGUGGCCAGACUGGAAGACGCCGUUCGGAAGCUGCUUGUUGUCCGUCGGCACACCCAGAAGACGUGUCCCGUUUCCUGCAGGGAACGAUGGCAGCCCUGAGCAUCGUCUGAGACUGUCUGCCGCUGCUUCUAGGAUUCAGCUGGCGGCUCGUCUAAUGCUGCYGUGUAUCGAGGGGAUGGUGGAUGACCAAAACAAGGAAAUCUUUACAGGAGUUGAUGUAAUCUUUUUUACCACUACCUGA